rnacentral:rRNA from 1 species
CCUACGGGUGGCAGCAGUGAGGAAUCUUGGUCUAUGGGCGAGAGCCUGAACCAGCCAAGUCGCGUGAAGGAUGACGGCCCUACGGGUUGUAAACUUCUUUUGUCAGGGAGCAAUUAGGUCCACGCGUGGGCUUAGCGAGAGUACCGGAAGAAAAAGCAUCGGCUAACUACGUGCCAGCAGCCGCGGUAAUACGUAGGGGGCGAGCGUUAUCCGGAAUUAUUGGGCGUAAAGGGUGCGUAGAUGGCAUAGUAAGUCUUUUGUAAAAAUGCUGGGCUCAACCCAGUAGGGCAAAAGAUAAUGGAAAGCUAGAGUAUGACAGAGGCAAGUGGAACUACAUGUGUAGCGGUAAAAUGCGUAAAUAUAUGUAAGAACACCAGUGGCGAAGGCGGCUUGCUGGGUCGAUACUGACAUUGAGGCACGAAAGCGUGGGGAGCGAACAGGAUUAGAUACCCUAGUAGUC